UACGUAGGGGGGCGAGCGUUGUCCGGAAUCAUUGGGCGUAAAGCGCGUGUAGGCGGUUCGGUAAGUCCGCUGUGAAAGUCGGGGGCUCAACCCUCGGAUGCCGGUGGAUACUGUCGAGCUUGAGUGCGGAAGAGGCGAGUGGAAUUCCUGGUGUAGCGGUGAAAUGCGCAGAUAUCAGGAGGAACACCAAUUGCGAAGGCAGCUCGCUGGGACGUUACUGACGCUGAGACGCGAAAGCGUGGGGAGCAAACAGG
rnacentral:rRNA from 1 species